AGCGAACGCUGGCGGCAGGCCUAACACAUGCAAGUCGAACGAACCUUUCGGGGUUAGUGGCGGACGGGUGAGUAACACGUGGGAACGUGCCUUUAGGUUCGGAAUAACUCAGGGAAACUUGUGCUAAUACCGAAUGUGCCCUUCGGGGAAAGAUUUAUCGCCUUUAGAGCGGCCCGCGUCUGAUUAGCUAGUUGGUUGGGGUAAUGGCUCACCAAGGCGACGAUCAGUAGCUGGUCUGAGAGGAUGAUCAGCCACAUUGGGACUGAGACACGGCCCAAACUCCUACGGGAGGCAGCAGUGGGGAAUCUUGCGCAAUGGGCGAAAGCCUGACGCAGCCAUGCCGCGUGAAUGAUGAAGGUCUUAGGAUUGUAAAAUUCUUUCACCGGGGACGAUAAUGACGGUACCCGGAGAAGAAGCCCCGGCUAACUUCGUG
rnacentral:rRNA from 1 species